rnacentral:rRNA from 1 species
AGCGAACGAUGGCGGCGUGCUUAACACAUGCAAGUCGAGCGAGGCCCUCCUUCGGGGGGUGUCCUAGCGGCGAACGGGUGAGUAACACGUGGGCAACCUGCCCUCAGCUCUGGGAUAACUCCAAGAAAUUGGGGCUAAUACCGGAUAUGACCGCUGACCGCAUGGUCUGGUGGUGGAAAGAUUUAUCGGCUGGGGAUGGGCCCGCGGCCUAUCAGCUUGUUGGUGGGGUAGUGGCCUACCAAGGCGACGACGGGUAGCCGGCCUGAGAGGGGGACCGGCAACACGGGGACUGAGACACGGCCCAGACUCCUACGGGAGGCAGCAGUGGGGAAUAUUGCGCAAUGGGCGGAAGCCUGACGCAGCGACGCCGCGUGGGGGAUGACGGCCUUCGGGUUGUAAACCUCUUUCAGCAGGGACGAAGCGCAAGUGACGGUACCUGCAGAAGGAGCACCGGCCAACUACGUGCCAGCAGCCGCCGUAACAC